rnacentral:rRNA from 1 species
GAUGAACGCUGGCGGCGUGCCUAAUACAUGCAAGUCGAGCGAACGGACGAGAAGCUUGCUUCUCUGAUGUUAGCGGCGGACGGGUGAGUAACACGUGGAUAACCUACCUAUAAGACUGGGAUAACUUCGGGAAACCGGAGCUAAUACCGGAUGAUAUUUUGAACCGCAUGGUUCAAAAGUGAAAGACGGUCUUGCUGUCACUUAUAGAUGGAUCCGCGCUGCAUUAGCUAGUUGGUAAGGUAACGGCUUACCAAGGCAACGAUGCAUAGCCGACCUGAGAGGGGGAUCGGCCAAACUGGAACUGAGACACGGUCCCGACUCAUACGGGAGGCAGCAGUAGGGAAUCUUCCGAAAUGGGCGAAAGCCUGACGGAGCAACGCCGGGGGAGUGAUGAAGGUCUUCGGAUCGUAAAACUCUGUUAUUAGGGAAAAAAAUAUGUGUAAGUAACUGUGCACAUCUUGACGGUACCAAAUAAGAAAGCCACGGCUAACUACGU